rnacentral:misc_RNA from 1 species
AAUCGGCACAGCGCACCUUCCACCCUGCAAAAGAUGAAAAAUUUUUAAUACAUAGAAAAAAAAAACUACCAUUUUUUUAAAUGUGCAUCCAUGGCAGAUAAAGAUUGGGAAAUCAUUUUCUUACCGCUUCCCUUAAAGACUCAAUAAGAGGUAACAAUUUUAGCAUGAGCUGGUUUGACAAUUAAUGAGUGGAACUAAAAAUUGAGCUUGGAAUACAAAUGGGAUGUAAUUAUGGAUGUCCAAACUAUGUAACAAAGAAGGGCUAAUGGUCUUCAUAUAUUCUUAAUGUUGCAUAAUUUGUGACCUAAAGGUCAUAGGUUCAAACCUCAGAAAAAGCCUCUCUACAAAGUAAGGGUAAGGCUAUAUAUAUCAACUCUCCCCAAAACCCACAAGUGAGAGAUGUUUCGUACACUGCAUUACCCUUUUUAAUUUAUAUUUUUAAUUUCAUCAAUCUGAUUCCUAAGUUAAUAAUUUUAUUUCAAUUGUAUACAAAGUGUUUACGGCGCAUGCCCAUGCUAAAAAUUUGUUGAGAUGAAAGACAUGCAUAGACAUAACUUACUAAUUUGGAAGUAGAUCCCUCCUAAGCCCUAAGAAUCAUUCAAUGUGUCAUUUUGUAAAAUUUCCUCAUAUGAAGCUACUUAAAAUGAUCUUUGAGAUACAUAUUUCGGAAAAAAAAAACACCAUUUAGUGGCUCUUAAGGCUCAAGAGAGGCCCCAUCAUCUGAGUCGAUACUUAUUGUUCAUGUCAAAAGUACAACUCAGCACCACAAUGGAACACACCCUAGACCCCCUGGAUAUUGAAACAAAAACACGUUCAUUAAACUAAAAGCAUGGGAGAUAAUUGAAAAGGCACAGCAUUCAGGAUACCUUAG